CAAGCUGAAAAUAUUCUAUAAAUAUUCUGAAAAACUCAAUCAAUUUCACAUUAAAUUUUUAACAUUAUAGUAAGCAUUCCUUAUAAAAUCACAGACAAUAGUUAAUUCUUUUCGGCUUAGAUAAAAUUUGAAAUAACAGUGAAAGAAUUCUCGGAUUCUUUGUACCCUUGAACCCCCCCUUCAACCUUAGCCAUCAUGUCUUUGGGUCGAUCUCUUGGUGGCUGGAUACUUACCACCUCCCCCCACAGUAGAAAUUUGCAUCAAAGAAGAACCCGACGACCAUUUCCUGUGGUCCCAGAUGCCAGAAUGAAUGCCCCAGUGCAGUCCUCACGUCCACCUCGUAUUCUGGUCAAGAGCUUCCUGGCUCUCCACGAACUGGACUCGGUGUACAUGAAGGAUGCUCCUCGCGAUCUUAGGGACUUCUUUAUGUCGAAUUGGAAGAUUGUGAGGACUUGAGCUUCGACUGGACUCAGAUGGAAACUGCCUUUCGUAUUGCUAAAUCCAAAGAUGUGAAAGAAAUGGCUUUGAUUUAAGAAUCAUUUAAAGCUGAACGAAUCUCGUAACAUUCACUUAUUGACAACACUAUGAAAAUCUGGUUUUAC